rnacentral:tRNA from 1 species
GCGGGUGUAGCUCAAUGGUAGAGCGUUAGCCUUCCAAGCUAUUUACGUGGGUUCGAUUCCCAUCACCCGCA